UGCAGCUUUGUCAAAUUCGGUGCUCCCUCGUCAGUAGGCUGCAUCGGCCAAAAUGGCUGCAACAGUGAUUCUGUAGCUCAUGGGCCCCGCUUCUCUGUACUGUGAACUGUGGGGAUAGAUUUGGUCUACAGACAGAA